GGUAUAUGUUAAAGCACUUUGCAUUUCCUGAAUUCCAUCUGCCCUGAUAGCUAUAAAGGACAACAGCAACUCUGAAUUGCACAAACCUCAUAAGAGCACUGAAAGAUGCUGACUGCUCAGGCAUGAAAUUUUGAUUCAAGCACGGGUGUGGGUUAACAAUUCCUGUCUGCAGGAGACCUGUCUGCAAGAGGAGGAGUAUUAUGUCUUCAAGUGCUUUCCAGAAAAUAUGGGAAAUAUUGUUUCAGUCAACUUCUCUGCUGAAUGCACUCAAGGACCAAUUUCUUCCUUUCCAAGACUACAUGAAGCAAGAAGCGAAGCAAUAUGUAUGCAUCCCACUGUUUCGACUGAUAGUAUGGGACUGGGCAGAAAGACUUCUGUAAAGGGACCUUUCUCAUGAAUAACUGGGGUCAUAUCACUCACAGAUGAACAUGAUGAUGUGUAUCAACUGGUCAGAAUUUCCUUUUUGCAUGUGACCACCUAUUUUUGGAGUAUCUGGAGGUAAUAACUUGAGUAACCUAGAUGUCAUCAUCAAGUUGGAUUAGCAAAUACAUAUUAUAGUCUGACAGUUUGGCAUUCCUACACUGAUGAAUAUAAACCUCUUGAAGGAGAAGGCCGAAUUUGCAAAGGAUUCAACCUGUAGUGUACAACAUGACAUAACAUUUUAAUAUUUCUGAUCACCUAAGAUGAAUUCUAAUGAAUACAUUCUUAUAAGCUAGAUCAUUUAGUGAACAUAAAUUGUUCCUCUGGUAACUGUUUGUGAAAAAGAUUCUUAAUAAACGAAUCACUAAACCUUU